rnacentral:rRNA from 1 species
AAUAGAUACCCCGGUAGUCCACGCCGUAAACGAUGAGUGCUAAGUGUUAGAGGGUUUCCGCCCUUUAGUGCUGCAGCUAACGCAUUAAGCACUCCGCCUGGGGAGUACGGCCGCAAGGCUGAAACUCAAAGGAAUUGACGGGGGCCCGCACAAGCGGUGGAGCAUGUGGUUUAAUUCGAAGCAACGCGAAGAACCUUACCAGGUCUUGACAUCCUCUGCCAACCCUAGAGAUAGGGCGUUCCCCUUCGGGGGACAGAGUGACAGGUGGUGCAUGGUUGUCGUCAGCUCGUGUCGUGAGAUGUUGGGUUAAGUCCCGCAACGAGCGCAACCCUUGAUCUUAGUUGCCAGCAUUCAGUUGGGCACUCUAAGGUGACUGCCGGUGACAAACCGGAGGAAGGUGGGGAUGGACGUCAAAUCAUCAUGCCCCUUAUGACCUGGGCUACACACGUGCUACAAUGGAUGGUACAAAGAGCUGCGAACCCGCGAGGGUAAGCCAAUCUCAUAAAGCCAUUCUCAGUUCGGAUUGUAGG